rnacentral:ncRNA from 1 species
CUAAACGCUUAAUAGUUAGCAUUGCGAUGGGCUGCAUACUAAGGAAACUGGUAUGCGAUAGCCUCUCAAAUUCGGGGAAGCCGGUAGCGCGGUAAUCCCGAGCCAAGCUCUGAACAAGAGAAGGUGUAGAGACUCGAUGGGAGGCACCCUAACAGUUAAAGCUGAGGGUGAAGGGAGAGUCCAGACCACAAACUGG